CUUUUGAUGAGAAGAAGAAUAACCUCAUUCUGAAUCAAUGAAAAGACUUCCGUCUUCUUGCCACUGGAUAUAUGUUAUCUGCACUUACAGAAUUGAAAGUGUGCAUCAAAGGAGCAUUCUCUUGGGAUGAAAGUUUUAUAGGGGAAGUCUGGAUGCUGGUGGAGCAGUGAGAAAGAAGAACUUAUUUUACCUCUGACUUGAGCACUGAAAAGAUACACCUUCACCACUGUUGCAACUCCAUACUUCUAAGAACUGCCAGAACUACUUUCCAGUGACUUCUUUCUACCACACUUCUCCUCAGUGUAAGAGGAUGAAAGCACAUGAUGAUAUUUGAAGCAAGAAGAUUGAAGAAUUGCUGGCUGCUAACCCAAGGCUUGGAUUAGUACAAUCUUUUUAGCUUUUUACUGUGAAGUUCAGGGAUCACAAAUGUUGUUUCAUCCAUGGAACUUUUGCAACUUGUUAUUUUCAUACCUGGGAUCUGGGGGAAAGUUUAGUCUAAAUGGUUUCUAAAAUAGCCAUUAGCUCAGGAGAUACGCAGCCAAUGCAUGUGACAGCAGCUUUGCCCACACUACCCUGUUUUUUGGUCAUGUAGGUUUUUUUUUUUUUUUUUUUUUUAAUGAUGUCAUUUAAAAACUUUGCUUUUGGGGAAUGAUUCCCCCCACUAUUUUUCUAUAGAGGGUCAGGAAAAUGUAUAAAUAAUUUCUGGGCUUGGGUGCAGAAGAUAUACAUGCUGACAAACAGAAAUCUAAAGUGUUAAAGGAGAUUGUCCUUUGAAGAAACUUUUCCAGGCUUGAGUUCUAUAUUUUUGGAUUUGACUCAGUGAAAAAUCUUUACUGAGUACCUAGUAUAUGCCCAGCAUUCUGCUGCAUUAUAGGGGUUGGGGGACUAUAGUCCAGUUGGGAUACAGGAAGGAUGGAGAGAGAAUAUAUAUAGUUAUAGCACAAGGCAGAAUAAGUUAUAGUAUACAAUGGGCUAUGGAAUAUUGUGGAGGAAGAGAGCAUUUUUAAUUAGUGGAGUCAGGAAAUGCAUUACCAAGGUGAUGGCAUUCUUGCUGGGUCAUGAAGGAUAGAUAGGAUUUUGGGAGGUGAGGAGCCAUUCUAAUGCAAGAGAACAAUAAUAGAAAAAGCCCAGUGGUCCAUUGAGGGUAGGAGCAGGGAAAUAAAGGGCGGCUGGGUUUAUACUGUGAUUACUGAGCUGCAGGCACACAGUUGUCCACGCCCUCCUCCUUGAACCACUUUUUAAAUAUAAAUUUAUUUAUUUAUUUAUGUUUGGCUGUGUUGGGUCUUCGUUGCUGAGUGUGGGCUUUUCUCAAGUUGCUGUGAGCGGGGGCUACUCCUUGUUGCGGUGUGCGGGCUUCUCACUGCAGUGGCUUCUCUUGUGGCACAGCACGGGCUCUAGGUGUGCGGGCUUCAGUAGUUGUGGCUUGCGGGCUCUAGAGCGCAGGCUCAGUAGUUGUGGCACAUGGGCUUAGCUGCUCCGCGGCAUGUGGGUUCUUCCCAGACCAGGGCUCGAACCCGUGUCCUCUGCAUUGGCAGGUGGAUACUUAACCACUGCGCCACCAGGGAAGCCCUGAACCACUGUUUACUCCAGAGUCACAGCAUCCUCCUGACUCUGACAGUCUUAACAGCCGUUGCUUCUCAGUCACCUUUCUUGGGUGCUCUUCCUCAGCCUGAGCUCUGCAUGUUGAAAGGCUUCAGCAUCAGUUUUUUAGCUUUCUUCACCUGAGUUGCUAUCAUUUAAAUAUUAAAUAUUUAACAUCUACAUGCCAGUAAUCUCCAAAUCAGUAACUCUCCCCAUGACCCAUGCCCUGACCUCUAAGCUGUAUAUCAAAUUGUCUACCCAACAUCUUCACUUUUGAUGGCUAAAUAUCAGGUUUCUUGAUUCUUUGCUUCCCCUCUCUGCUGAAAUCCUGCUCAACCACCAGUCUUCUCUAUCUUAGUUAAUGGGCCUGCCAUCCACCGAGUUGCUUAGGUGUCCCCCAAACUAGAUGUUAUUCUAGAUAUAACCUUUUCUCUCACCUUCACCAUAUAAUAAUGAGUAUUUUGAGUCCACCUCUACCCCACCCCAAAUAAGUGACUAUUGUUUUUUGUUAUAAGUUUUAUGGUAGUAAGAUUUGCCUCUAAAUCUACAUGAAUUAUCUUGAUAAAAAUAAAUAUUAAAUUAAA